AUUGAACGCUGGCGGCAGGCCUAACACAUGCAAGUCGAGCGGAUGAAGGGAGCUUGCUCCUGGAUUCAGCGGCGGACGGGUGAGUAAUGCCUAGGAAUCUGCCUGGUAGUGGGGGAUAACGUCCGGAAACGGGCGCUAAUACCGCAUACGUCCUGAGGGAGAAAGUGGGGGAUCUUCGGACCUCACGCUAUCAGAUGAGCCUAGGUCGGAUUAGCUAGUUGGUGGGGUAAAGGCCUACCAAGGCGACGAUCCGUAACUGGUCUGAGAGGAUGAUCAGUCAACCGGGAACUGAGACACGGUCCAGACCCCCACGGGGGGCAGCAGGGGGGAAUUUUGGACAAUGGGGAAAAGCCUGAUCCAGCCCUGCCGGGUGUGGGAAGAAGGUCUUCGGAUUGUAAACCCCUUUAAGUUGGGGGGAAGGGAAGUAAGUUAAUACCUUGCUGUUUUGACGUUCCCAACAAAAAAAGCCCCGGCUAACUUCGU
rnacentral:rRNA from 1 species